rnacentral:lncRNA from 1 species
CUCUUUCUCUCCUCACACACUGAGGUAUUUCUCCCCUGUCCUCCCCCCCUCACACGCACAGACGUAAAGGGCCCCUCCAGGGCCCGGGCCUCCUCUCGCACAGCCCCACAUUCAGCCCCACUCGCUCCCACUCCUCAGCCCUCCCACACGGAGCGCCCCCCAGCCUCGAGGUCGAGCCGCGGCGCCCCGAGGGCAGGGCAGGGCAGGGCAGGGCGGGGCGGGAGGGAUCCCGGUGCUCCUCACCUUCAGAGAGCUCCAGCUCCAGCUCGGCCAGCUGCUCGCGGACCUCGCGAGGCAGCGAGGAGAUACCCGCGGCCGCCGGCUCGGCCAUGGCGGGAGAAGGUAAAGGUUUGACAACAACCGGGACAGACAGGAGCCAGAUGGGUGCUUCUUUCUCCUUCCGCUCAGGCCCUGCCCUGUGAGGAGCUGGGAGAUGCUGUGGGGAAGCUGGACUCACCCGGGAGGAACACGAGGGCUGCACUCAGGAGCCAGACUCUGCUGCUGGGAAAUGUACAUCCAGGACACACACAGCAUCCUUUCCACGGUCAAGUUUCCCCAAUCACCAUUCAAGAAAGACUGAACUGCAGUUCCUCUUUUUCCACAAGUAAUAAAAUAAUGUUCUAAACAAAGUUCCAUUUCACAAUUGUUAAAAGCUCUGAUUCCACCUUGGAGCACUGUGUGGUUACCAGGUGCACUGCGAGCACCCCAGUGCUUCCUGGACCCCCAGUGACAGCACACAUUUACCCACACAUCUGUGACUAUCACAGGUUUUCCAGUUUGACUGCAGUCAUUUGUAGCCUUUAAAUGGAUCAAAAAAAAAAAAAAUCUGAACUCCAUUUCAGAACUUAAAACAUCUCAAAAUAUUUGAAUUUCU